UACGUAGGGGGCAAGCGUUGUCCGGAUUUAUUGGGCGUAAAGAGCGUGUAGGCGGCCUGACAGGUCUGCUGUGAAAACUCGAGGCUCAACCUCGAGAUGUCGGCGGAAACCGUCUGGCUAGAGUCCGGAAGAGGAGAGUGGAAUUCCUGGUGUAGCGGUGAAAUGCGUAGAUAUCAGGAGGAACACCGAUGGCGAAGGCAGCUCUCUGGCCUGUAACUGACGCUGAGGUGCGAAAGCGUGGGGAGCAAACAGG
rnacentral:rRNA from 1 species